rnacentral:rRNA from 1 species
AUUGAACGCUGGCGGCAGGCUUAACACAUGCAAGUCGAGCGAGCGGCGGACGGGUGAGUAAUGUCUGGGAAACUGCCUGAUGGAGGGGGAUAACUACUGGAAACGGUAGCUAAUACCGCAUACCAUCAGAUGUGCCCAGAUGGGAUUAGCUAGUAGGUGGGGUAAUGGCUACCCUAGGCGACGAUCCCUAGCUGGUCUGAGAGGAUGACCAGCCACACGGGAAAUGAGACCGGGUCCAGACUCCUACGGGAGGGAGCAGUGGGGAAUCGUGCACAAUGGGCGAAAGCCUGAGGCAGCAAUGCCGCGUGUGUGAGGAAGGCCUUCGGGUUGUAAAGCACUUUCAGCGAGGAGGCGUUACUCGCAGAAGAAGCACCGGCUAACUCCGUGCCAGCAGCCGCGGUAAUUC